CACGGCUCUGCGCGGGCGACGGCCGGAGCACUGGUGUUGGGGGCAUGGAGGUGCUGCGGAUGCCAGGGAGGAUCACCUGAGCCCAGGAGGUCAAAGCUUCAGUGAGCUGCGAUCUCACUGUCAGGCCUCUGAGCCCAAGCUAAGCCAUGGCAUCCCCGGUGACUUGCACGUAUACGCCCAGAUGGCCUGAAGUAACUGAAGAAUCACAAAAGAAGUGAAAAUGCCCUGCCCCGCCUUAACUGAUGACAUUCCACCACAAAAGAAGUGAAAAUGCCCUGCCCCGCCUUAACUGAUGACAUUCCACCACAAAAGAAGUGAAAAUGGCCGGUCCUUGCCUUAACUGAUGACAUUGUCUUGUGAAAUUCCUUCUCCUGGCUCAUCCUGGCUCAAAAAGCUCCUCCACUGAGCCCCUUGUGACCCCCACUCCUGCCCGCCAGAGAACAAUCCCCCUUUGUAAUUUCCUUUACCUACCCAAAUCCUAUAAAACGGCCCCACCCUUACCUCCCUUCGCUGACUCUCUUUUCAGACUCAGCCCGCCUGCACCCAGGUGAUUAAAAGCUUUACUGCUCACACAAAGCCUAUUUGGUGGUCUCUUGUGAGCUGCGAUCUCACCAAUGCACUCCAGCCUGGGCAGCAGAGCAAGACCCUGUCUCUAAU
rnacentral:lncRNA from 1 species